rnacentral:rRNA from 1 species
AGAAUGAACGCUGGCGGCGUGCUUAACACAUGCAAGUCGAGCGAGGCCAGGGGGGCAACUCCCUGAGUCGAGCGGCGGACGGGUGAGUAACACGUGGGUAACCUACCCGGAAGUGGGGAAUACCUCGGGGAAACCCGAGCUAAUACCGCAUAAACAUCUCGAGGACGAAAGUUCUUGUGAUCAAAGCGGGGCCGCAAGGCCUCGUGCUACGGAUGGGCCCGCGCCCGAUUAGCUAGUUGGCGAGGUAAUGGCUCACCAAGGCGACGAUC